rnacentral:tRNA from 1 species
GAGGGUAUAGCUCAGUGGUAGAGCACAUGCCUCACAUGCAUGAGGUCCUGGGUUUGAUCCCCAGCACCUCCA